AGUUCCUGGGUAGAACCAGAAGAAUGAAGAAGGGUUAGAGGAUUGUGAAACUCUCCAGGUGAGGAGGCUCAGGAGACACCCUGCUCAAGCAGGGGACUGACAGAGAGAACCCAAGUACUUAAACCCUAGGGUAAUGGAUGAAGGUGAUGCGACAGAGUGGGUAGCAGCAACUCUAAGGGAAGGACUACGAGACUGCUGUUUAUAGGGUCUCUGGGUUGGCAUCUGGAAUAGUCAGUGGCUCCAGGUCAUCUCACCAUCAGUGAAGAAGUGGCCUAAGUCCUGAAGAGUAGACAGGACUCUUUGCUAGAAGCCAAAGAUAAGGGGGCUAGAUUUAAAGAGGACCAAGAGGGGCUGAAGAAAGAAGGCACCCUCAGGAAGGAGGGGCUAAAUCCAGCUUGAGCCAGGGAAUUUGAGAGACUUUUGCUUGUGUUUAUUUUGGACUUGUGUAUGCUGGAAGGGGUUCACCAUUUUAGACUGUGUGACUUAGCCGGAGGACUGAGCCACUGAAGACUUGCCCAGCAAGGGCAACAGUGGCACUGGGAGAAGAGAAAAAGAAUUCAGGUUUGCAGCCAGCCAACAGUAGGUGCUCACAAGAGGUUGCAGAAGAGAGCCAGAACCUGCCGUCCCCAUGAGAAGAACAAUGGGAAGAAGGACUUUUGCUCUCAAGGUUUUGUGUCUGAGGUAAUUUUAUUUUGAAAGACUCUUGCGGCAUAAGGAAACUUUAAGGGCCUGUCGAAAAAGAGAUGGAGAGAGUGGCUCAGGGCAGUGAGCCUGCCAUACAGCCUUUUUCAGGCUUCCUAGGGAAACUGUUCAGGGUGAAUACUAACCUGUUCCAGAUUUACAUAUAAAAAUAUCUAUGGGACAAAGAGAUCCUGUAACUGAGGGGAAGGAAGGGGCUUCUAAAGAAACCCAUGCUGCUGAUUCUGUCAUUAAGGCUCAAGGAUAUACAUCUAAAGGCAAGGGGAAUGGACUCUUCUCUUCUCCCAGUGUAAGGGCACAAGUUGGCUCUUAAUGAUUCCAUCCAGACAUUCUCUAAGAAUCAGGAAAGGAAUGCAGGCUGGGAAAUGUAGUCCACCGAGGCAGACACAUUAAUAGUUCUACCUUAUGGCAAUUCAUGAUGACAAUAAACAAGAGCGUAUAAAGAUAUCGUUUCCAGAGAUGGACCUAUACAGAGUCAGGUUGUGCUGAUGGUCCAUCUUGUAUGUUGCAGGCGGUAAACCUGCUUUCUGUUGUGUUGUGUUAUAUUGUUUUUAUAAUUCUUUUCUCAACAAUGAUUUUGGGGUGGGCACCUCUGAGCAGUGUCUGAAAUAAUCUGUAAGGCUGUCAAUAUGUUUUUGUUGUCUUUUGAGAGAGGUUGAAAUAGAGACCCCAGGCCGAGAACUUUCUGUUUCCAAAUUCCAAGGUGUUUUUGUUUGGUUUGGCUUCUGAUGGGGGUCUCCAUCUCUGAUUUUAUCAUACCAGAAAUAGAGUUUUACAUCCAAUUAUCUGUAGAAGGCUUCUGGUUUCUUCUAAAAGUGGUGAUCUUGUCUAUCUACAGAAUCUCAUGGGGUCAAUGGAUAGUUUCAGCAGUAGCUCCUUAAAAUAUCAACCAUUUAGAACAAUAUCCCAGCAUAACAUCUCAACAAUUCAAUCAUUAAAUAGCAUUACUAAUGCUUCCUUUCAGUAAAAAUGUAUGUUUCUACUGUGGAAGGUUUGAGAUCUGUUUUAUAUACCUUUCUCAUUUAAUAGUAUCUGGCAUAUGGCUUUCACUUCUGUCCCAGCUAUUCAGCAAUACAUGUUGGCUGGACCACAGAGCCUUUUUUUUUUUGCUGAACCUGCCUCAGAGAACAGGUUGGGAAUGGAAAUUUAAUUUUUAUAUUUAACAUCUCCCUCUUGGAACAUAUUCACUAGAGUCAAAAUCUCACCUUGUUUGGACACAGAAACUGUUUCUGGAUUUUCACCAUCAAUUCAGCUCUAAGACGGAGUAAUUAUGGCACAUGCUAUAAAUGACAGACACUGUAAAGUCCAACAUGGAUUUCUAUUGAAAGCAUAUGCAUCUCCUUCUACUCCAGUUUGUUACAUAUACUGGUUCAUUAGCUUGUUUGUGCUUACACUCAUAUCCAUCUAUUAUCCAGAAUAAGAGAGGUUACUUUUACCAGGGGUCAAGUGUCAAUCAAAAAUGGAUUUAAAAUGAGAAUCUUUAAAUUACAAAUCUCCUGCAAGGUGCUCCUCCUCUUGGCAAGCAGUGUCGUAGAAAAUUAUUAUUUAUUGCAAAGGACUGCAGCUGCUGAUACGGAUGGGCAUUCACCGGUAACAUAUUACAAGGUAGGUGACCUAUGACUAGAGAGAGAUUAUCGUAAAUGCAUUUGCCAAAUAGAAGCUAGUACUGAAGGUACAUAACACAUACAUUACACAUGGCUUUCUGCUCAUCAUGCAUCUAAGUAGUAUGCUAGCAAUCUUGGGGUGGCUUUUGGUUCAGAGCUAGGAUAGGGCAAACCACUUUGGAUAAUACAAAUGCAAACUAGCUCCUUUCUCCCAGCUUGAACCAAACCAAACCAAACCUCUUUUGAAGUUUGAAAGUGUUAUGCUAACAUUCUUCUUUUCUCAUUUUUUGCAAGCAUCUGGUCAUCCUGGUUCUGCCCAUGACUGAAAAUAAAAAUGCCAAAAUACCACAAUAAAGUCUAGCCUGGUGAUAUUUUUCCAGCACAACCAGAAACAAGAAACCUUCUGAAUGCUUGCAAAUUUUCCAGCUCAAGCUUCAAAACCAAGAAAUGGAGGUAGUUUAGAUAAUGUGCAUAUAAGCCUACAGGAUGGUUAUUUACACUAGAAACCUGACAUUCAGAGGUAUUCAGCACCUCUGAUAAUCAAACCUUAAGCCUUCAACCCUUUUAUGGGUUCACCUACUGUUAGUGAUAAAACAGGCUGCCAAAAGGAAUGGAGAGAGAGGAAAGUUUUUUAUUAACAUUUUACUUGAUCUGAACAAUUCUUUAUUCUAGCAAGUUAGUCAUAACAUGUAACAAUUUAUUACAGGCUUAUCCAAUUUGGCCACUCUGAUAAUGAGCCAAGGCUUCAAAACAGCUAACCAUGUGUAGUUUUCCAAAAUAAAAUCUUUUAAAGUUGGAAUGUUUAUAUUGUCUACUUCCUUUAGUGAUUAGUGUCAACUGUAAACAGAGGGUGAAAUCCUGGCUCUAUUGAAGUCCAUUGCAAA